UACGUAGGGUGCAAGCGUUAAUCGGAAUUACUGGGCGUAAAGCGUGCGCAGGCGGUUGUGCAAGACCGAUGUGAAAUCCCCGGGCUUAACCUGGGAAUGGCAUUGGUGACUGCACGGCUAGAGUGUGUCAGAGGGGGGUAGAAUUCCACGUGUAGCAGUGAAAUGCGUAGAGAUGCGGAGGAACACCGAUGGCGAAGGCAGCCCCCUGGGCUGACACUGACGCUGAGGCACGAAAGCGUGGGGAGCAAACAGG
rnacentral:rRNA from 1 species